rnacentral:misc_RNA from 1 species
GGCAUUGCGUCGUUCGCUGUAGGUGCAUUGGAAGGCCGGAAGCCGUAUUAGAAAUCUCGGGGAACGUACUGGACGGCGCAAUUUCACGAAAUGGAGUGGAGCCUUGACUGCAAGGUGUAUGUGGGUAACCUUGGGAGUGGGGCAGCCAAGCACGAGAUCGAGGCGGCCUUCACCAAGUUCGGCCCCUUGCGCAAUGUCUGGGUGGCCCGCAACCCUCCGGGCUUUGCUUUUGUCGAGUUCGAGGACUCUCGUGACGCUGAAGAUGCCUGCCGUGCUCUCGAUGGCAGCCGUCUUUGUGGAACAAGGGUGAGGGUGGAAAUGUCCCAUGGCCGAUCACGCCGUGGUGGAGCUAGCAGGCGCCCAGCUGCACCGCCACCUCGCUACGGAGGUUACGGAGCUAAACGGUCCAGGGCAUGCGACAUCAUCUCUAACUCUGCCCCCCGAGGGACUAAAGUGACCCAACCUACCACCACCACCACCUUUCUCCUUCGUCAACAACAACCACCGCCACACUUCUAUCUCGCUGCGCGGGAAGGGUUUGCCGCCGACGCGGCUGGCUGAGCCACCAACCCCCUCACCCCCUUGAGAGAGAGAAAACGUCGGGACGCCGCCCCUGUGCGAGCAAAUCGAGGCAGCAAUGCCAGCGCCAACAGCUUCCCAACCAACACACUUCCGCAGGGGGAUGGCAACGCAUUCGGUGGCAGACGCCUUCUUCCCUUCUCGUGCCCCCCUUCGCUCGCCACCGCUCGCCUAGCUGGCCGGUCGGCGCUCAACGCUCUUCUUUGCCACUGGCACAGGUCUCGCUCUCCUCGAAGACGUUACUCCCGAAGCCGCAGUCGUAGCCGCUCCCGCAGCUUGCGCAGGUCUACCGGAAGCCGCUCACUCUCUCGGGAGAGGCGUUGACAGGUAGGGCGUUUUAUUGCAUUUCAGGCCACUGCAGAUACCUUCGCAUCGACUUGCCAGCCGAGAGCUGCGUCCUGCUCCGAGCGCUGUUCACACGCCUCUCAGCUUAAAAGCAUUCUCAACUGGCCUUCGCAUCGCAUGUCUUCUUGGCUUGCUCGAGAGCCAACAGCGGUGUGCAUAGUGCAAGCAUGGCGUCCCAACUGUGCAGGGCCGAGGGCUGGCCACUCUGCUGUGCUGCUGGCAUCCUGCGAUGGACUGUGGGAAGACUGAGGAAGCAGGACAUGCAGUUACCACCACAUUGCAUAUGUGAUUCCAUAACUUUUUUUUUUUUUUCAUGUUAAGUUUGUUUUCAGCUAAGAAAAAAGACUACGAAAACAAAAACCUUGGUCAUGUGUGUCAUGUAGCUAUUUCAUGAAUUGGCAAACCUUCACAAUAAAAGCUUUUUUCAACCCC